rnacentral:ncRNA from 1 species
CCGCCCCCGACGACAAGGUAGCCACAUGAGGCUGUCUUCCGUAACUUUGAGUACGGAUAGUCGGGGGUGUUUUA